CCCCCCCCCCCCCCGUCACGGUUUUUACAUGCGAGCUUAUCGCCACACCUGAAUUUUUUUACUGUUCGUGAAGAGGAAAACGAAUCCUGGGAUUUAAAACUUUCCCCGGGUGCGAUGGUGGAUUUUAAUUCCUGCAGCCAGCCCCGCGGCCGGCAGUCACGAGCAGAGGGAUAACCGGGGAUGUACCACUGUAAAACAAUCCCGAGGUGUUUGCAGAGAGUGGCACCGUCAUAUUUUAUCACUGCGGUUUGUCACGCUGCUCAGGAUCACCCGGGGAUCGUCCUGGUUAAUCCCGUUGGUUUAGACUGAGCACUGUCUGACGCAGACAUAAAGACAAAGCCUGUCAGACAGAGCCAGAGAAAAGCUGCUCAUUUUACUGACUUUGCAUUACCUCGAGUCUGAUUUUUUCCCGAUAUAUUGAAAAAGGCUGGAGGGAGGUUAGAUAUAUAUUUUAAUAUGUGCGUAUAAAUAUAUAAUCUGUACUUUAUAGAUUUUAUAUGUAUAAAAACUAAAUGUCAAUCAGAAUAUCUCAAUCCCGGGUUUACCCCUUAUUAAACUGUUUUGGAAGAUUCUGCAGGGCCUAGUGCACGGGGACGGGGUUGCUGAUUCGUGCAGAAAAGAGAAGUGACAUUGCAGGGGGGGAAACUAACUAACUAACUAACUAAACUUUAAAAAAAACCAAAACCAAAUCAACAACAACGACAAAAAGAAGGUUCCUUCCCUCCGUGCUGGAAGCGUCGCGGAGGGUAAUCCGAGCUCAGUCUCCGUGAGCCAGCAGUGCUGCGCUGCUGCCCGCCUGUCCUAGGCUGGUAUUUGGGGGUGUAUUUUUGUUGGUUUUUAAUUUUCUUUCUUUGCUUUACUGAGAUCUCCACAAUAUUUGGGGUUUGGGUAAUUAACUCUUUCUGUUGCUAAUUUAACGAUCAGGGAGGGCAGUGUGCGGGCCCGAUGCCGCAGCCCUGCCUGCGUCCCUGUUGGUGCCGCGGGCUGCUCACUCCCGGUGCUGGGCUCUGUGUGUCCCUGCGAGCCCGGCUGAGUUCUGAGGGUGCUCUUCUAUUGCUCCGCCUCGCAGCGAAUAUCUGAUGAGUUGGAAAGGCCGGACGCGGAUAAAAAUAACUGGUGGGAGUCGGGGGCGCCCUGGGCUCUCCCCCCUGGCGGUUUUGGUUCUCAGCUGGCGGUCCUUGUUUUGGGCAUCCCCCGCAGGUGGGUGCCGGGGCAGCGGGAUUUACACCCCGUGUAACGCUGCGGUGUCCGUGGGACGGCGGUCGGAGCGCGCUGGCUGUGCUUCCUCAGGGAACGCACGAGUCUGCAGGUAAAUUUGUUCUCCUGCCCACAUGGAAAGGAUGCCGAGAGGAAGAGCUGCAGUCCAAGGCCAGCUGAAAUCCCCGUUACCAUCUCCCACCUGGAGACCCCCGCGGGGGCAGACCUGCAGCCGGGGCCCCCCACUGCGGCCGGACUGCAGGACCAUCCCCUGCCAAAAAGCGGUUCCUGCCAAAAAUCAGGUCUCCUGGGAGGGGUUGGAAGAUGCAUUUGCUGGAAGAUAUUAGGAAUGAAGGAAAAACAGCUGGUAAAGAUGAGCUGGAAAGUUCUGUGUAUUUGUCUCCAAUCAGCAUAAACACCGCGCCCCCGCCCCCUUUUAAUUUUAGGGGUUAAAACCAGAGGAUAUUUCCUCAACAGGUACCUAAAGGAAUAAUCCUGAUGUUUGCUCUGUUGGCGCCUUUGCAUUUAGGUGUGGGCUUUUGUGCAUUUGUUCCUCACAAGUAGCUAUUAUUGCUGUUAAUUGUAAAAAUAAGGAGGAAAAAAAAAACCCACCAUGUUAAAAAAUGUGAAUUCUUAGCCUGCUAGCAGAGAGCUCUCCUCACUCUCCUGGCAAUUAAAAUAAGGGUGUCGAUUUGGGUUAGGGAGCAUCCUUCAAUUUUAAGGGAGAGGUGCUUGAAGUCAAGAAUGCCUUUUCUGUUUUGUUGUUUGUUUGCUUGUUCGUUUGCUUGUUUUUCUCUUUUUUCGAAGGCUUUUCCCUUUUACUAUUUAAGUCAUUUUGGAAGAAGACAUUUCUCCUCCGUGCUCGUUUAGGCUAUCCCUCCCUUGGAAACUCCAGACGGGAGGGAAAUAGGUGCACAUAGUUUGGGGGUUUUGUUGUUUUUUAAGGGUAUUUGUCCUGCUGCAACCAUUAUUCCGAGGCUCCUGCGAGGUUUUCAUUUACCGGCUUUCAGGGCCCCUUUCUUCAUAUUGCAGCCGGCCCAACUUGAGACUCCGGAGGAAAAAGAAAAACAAGUAAAAAUAAUAAUAAUAAUAAUAAAUAUAAAACAACCUUCCCCCUUCCCUCCCCAUCACCCCCAAACUAAGCUGUACCCCAAGCAAGGCUUCGCUUGGGAAGUCAAAUUACCGCUCUUCCCAUCAGGACGCUUAAGAGUCAUUUUAUCUGCCUGAAUUUUAGGACAAAGCUGUUUUCCAGAGGAAAUUUCCACUCCUGCUCCCGCCUCACACCAGAGGGCGCCAGGAGCCUUCUCAGGCUUUGCUGCCUCAAGUGCUGCCGGAAAUUAACUCUUUGGGCGCUCUCCCUGAAUGUUUUUCUAACCUUUCUCUUUUAAAAUAUACCACUAGAUUCUAACUUUUUUCCCCCUAUAAAAUGCAUGUUGGUUUGUUCUGGUUUGGGUUUGUGAGGUUUUUUCCCGUCCUUUUACUAACCUUUCCUAUCUCUUCCUGGCCUUCACCCUCCUGCAGCAGUCCCCCAGAACUCUCAGGAGAUGUACAGCUUCGCUCUGUCUCUGCUAACUUGGUUCUAAUUAAGUCACUGGAUCACAUUUGUGUGACAUUACCGUGUUGUCCCUCAUAAAUGUGUGGGAUGAAACUAUGAAACUUGUCUGGUUGUGUUUAAGCUUAAAGGGUCACUUAGGGCUCUUCAAGCAGAACACCAAAGCGUGGCACCAGACGGAAAGCAGUGUGGUGAGGCCCUGGCACAGGUUGCACGGAGAGGCUGUGGCUGCCCUAUCCCUGGAAGUAUUCAAAGCCAUGUGGGACAGGACUUGGAGCAACCUGGACUAGUGAAAGGUGUCCCAGCCCACAUAUGCACAGUAUAAGGUCUCCAACAGAGCUUAUAAUUCUCAAUAAAUUACUAAAAAGGGAGGUAAAUAAUAAGAAACAGAAGAAGAAAGAAUAAAGAAAACAUUAGGAUAUGUCAUGUUCAUGUUUCCUGUAAACUUUCAUCAAGAAGCUAGAUAGGAUUUUGCUAUUCACAGCUAAGGAUCAACAUAAAUGCAAAAUGCAUGAUCCAAAUAAUUAUUAAAAAAUCGGAGCAUAAAGCAUAAAAACUAACCAAGAAAAACAUUUUAAUUCUGGAGGCUGGUGGGAAAACUCAGUUGAAGAUAAAUGUUUGUCCUUGUGCUGUUUAAAUUAAAACAUGGAUUUAAAAAAUU